UACGUAGGGGGCAAGCGUUGUCCGGAUUUAUUGGGCGUAAAGAGCGUGUAGGCGGCCAGACAGGUCCGUUGUGAAAACUCGAGGCUCAACCUCGAGAUGUCGAUGGAAACCGUCUGGCUAGAGUCCGGAAGAGGAGUGUGGAAUUCCUGGUGUAGCGGUGAAAUGCGCAGAUAUCAGGAAGAACACCCGUGGCGAAAGCGGCUCUCUGGAACGGUACUGACGCUGAGACGCGAAAGCGUGGGGAGCGAACAGG
rnacentral:rRNA from 1 species